UACAGAGGUGGCAAGCGUUGUUCGGAAUUACUGGGCGUAAAGCGUGCGCAGGCGGCUUUGCAAGACAGAUGUGAAAUCCCCGGGCUCAACCUGGGAACUGCAUUUGUGACUGCACGGCUAGGAGUACGGUAGAGGGGGAUGGAAUUCCGCGUGUAGCAGUGAAAUGCGUAGAUAUGCGGAGGAACACCGAUGGCGAAGGCAAUCCCCUGGACCUGUACUGACGCUCAUGCACGAAAGCGUGGGGAGCAACAGG
rnacentral:rRNA from 1 species